AUCCUGGCUUAUCACUCAGCUGAGGGCCUGUCAACACUGGGAGUUUCCACCUCCGAGGAUGGGCUGCAGGAAGCCAAAAUCUGUCACCUCUUUCCUCUGCCUCAUUAGAUCCUGCCUUUCACAGGAUGCUGGAAUCAAAGCAGAGUUUUCUGUGUAAGCAGUUGCUGUGUGACUCCUUUUCCUCUUCCCUGGGCACCUUAUAGACCAAGAAGCCACAAUUGGGAAUGCAUUCAGAGACCAUUAGUACAGGAAGUCGGGUCAAAUCCAAAGAAACCAUGAAGCAGUGCACAGACAUGGAGGGACCAGAGGAUUGAAGCACAGCCUUGGAAUCUGCUUUGAAUCUGGACUGCUGGCAGGAAAGCAAUAUUUGAAAGGAUAUUAUUGCUGAAUUUAUUACAACAGGGUAGGAUGUGUGCAUUUUUAAGCAGGGUUUUUUGCUCUGACCAAGAUGCUGACCCAAAUUCCAUUUUGGUUCUCGUAUCAACAAUUGUUGGGUGCAGCCAGCCAACAUUUUUUGAUGGAGCAAUUUUCUACCCGCACUGGAAUGCUGUCUAAAUUAUAUAUGAAAUGCAGGAAUUUGGGAUAAAUUUACAACUCCCCAAAAGGUGAGAUAUCGGAUUUUGGCUUUCCCACUUCUUUUUAAUAAUGGCAAAGUCAUUUUAAUUUAGUGCCACAGAGACAUUUAAUUUUGAUUUGCUUCCUUUGACUCAUUUGGGUCAAGCAGUCCAUUACAUUUAAUAGCAUAUUAUUUUUACAUUAUGUUACAUGUUCCCAGGGCCAACACUGGCACGCAGGGUGGAAACUUGUCCCUUCCACUUCUCUGCAUCCUUUGGUGGUUUCCAUUAGCUCCACACUGCUGAAAGCAGCUCUGCUGCUUCCUUUGCUCGGGCUUUUGAAAAGAUUUCUCUUGGAGAUGCUGUGCUGCACUUUUCCAAGGCUCAGCUGUGGGUGGUUGUGUCCAGCUUGGCAGAAGUCGAGCGCUGGUUCCUGAGCUGGGUGUUUAAAUCUCCACAAAGAUGCCCCAUGUUUUCCCUCCUGGAUUCACAGCUGGAGCUGAGCUGACCGUGGACCCUUUGGAAAGAUUUUCCCCCUACACUGGCUCAAAUCCCCUCCUGGUGUAAGGCCCUGCUUCCAGCUCCUGCAGUGUGUAAGAUUUAUCUGGCAGCUCCUUCCAGCCUUACCAGAACACUUCAGUGCUGUGUUGUUCAGCAUGAGUGCCCCCAAAAUAUUCAGAUAACCAGAAAAAAAAGCUGGAAGAGGAAGAAAUCUCAAAUCUCUUUGCUGGUGAUGAAAUCUUUCCAUACUCUGCCCUGACCUCCUUGCAGUCUUUUCCUCCUUUUAUUUUUUUCCCCUCUCUUGGAAAGCAUCUCCUUUUCUGCCUAAGCUCUCAGUGCCUCGCCAGCCCUCACAGCCCCAGAUUUUAACUGCUGAGAGAAUGGCUGUGUUGAAAAGUCUGAGCUUUAUCCUGAGGCUGCCCCUCUCUGGAUUUCAUGUGCUGCUAAGUUUAGGAAGUGCCACGCUCGGCCUU